rnacentral:misc_RNA from 1 species
GUUCAUUGAUGAGGUUCAUAGGUUCAACAAGGCUCAGCAAGAUUCCUUUUUGCCGGUGAUUGAAGAUGGUAGUGUCAUUUUCAUGGGAGCAACCACUGAAAACCCAUCAUUUCAUUUGAUUACGCCUUUAUUAUCCAGGUGCAGAGUUUUGACUCUCAAUCCUUUAAAGCCCCACCAUAUUGCUAUGCUACUCAGGCGGGCUGCCGCUGAUUCUGAUAAGGGGCUGUCCUGUUGUAUG